rnacentral:rRNA from 1 species
AUUGAACGCUGGCGGCAGGCCUAACACAUGCAAGUCGAACGAGUGGAGGACGGGUGAGUAAUGUCUGGGAAACUGCCUGAUGGAGGGGGAUAACUACUGGAAACGGUAGCUAAUACCGCAUACCAUCGGAUGUGCCCAGAUGGGAUUAGGUAGUAGGGGGGGUAAAGGCUCCACAGGGCGAACAUCCCUAGCUGGUCUGAGAGGAUGACCGGCCAAACUGGAACUGAGAAACGGUCCAGACUCCUACGGGAGGCAGAAGUGGGGAAUAGUGCAAAAGGGGCGCAAGCCGGAUGCAGCAAUGCCGCGUGUAUGAAGAAGGUCUUCGGGUUGUAAAGUACUUUCAGAGGGGAGGCGUUACCCGCAGAGGAAGCACCGGCUAACUCCGUGCCAGCAGCCGCGGUAAUUC